UACGGGGGGGGGCAAGCGUUUGUUCGGAAUUACUGGGCGUAAAGGGCUUGUAGGUGGCCAACUAAGUCAGACGUGAAAUCCCCUCGGCUUAACCGGGGAACUGCGUCUGAUACUGGAUGGCUUGAGUUUGGGAGAGGGAUGCGGAAUUCCAGGUGUAGCGGUGAAAUGCGUAGAUAUCUGGAGGAACACCGGUGGCGAAGGCGGCAUCCUGGACCAAUACUGACACUGAAAAGCGAAAGCCAGGGGAGCAAAACGGG
rnacentral:rRNA from 1 species